rnacentral:rRNA from 1 species
ACGGGUGAGUAACACGUAGGUAACCUACCCUUCAGUGGGGGACAACAGAGGGAAACUUCUGCUAAUACCGCAUACGAUCACGGACUGGGAUGUUCGUGGUGAAAGGAUUUAUUCGCUGAGGGAUGGGCCUGCGGCCUAUCAGGUAGUUGGUGGGGUAAUGGCCUACCAAGCCUGCGACGGGUAGCCGGACUGAGAGGUCGAUCGGCCACACUGGAACUGAGACACGGUCCAGACUCCUACGGGAGGCAGCAGUGGGGAAUAUUGCACAAUGGGGGAAACCCUGAUGCAGCGACGCCGCGUGGAGGAUGACGGCCUUCGGGUUGUAAACUCCUUUUGUCGGGGACAAUGGUGAUGGUACCCGACGAAUAAGCCACGGCUAACUCUGUGCCAGCAGCCGCGGUAAGACAGAGGUGGCGAGCGUUGCUCGGAAUUACUGGGCUUAAAGGGCGCGUAGGCGGUGGUGUAAGUCUAGGGUGGAAUGCUACAGCUCAACUGUAGAGCUGCCUUGGAAACUGCAUUACUUGAGUCGGUGAGGGGAAGGUGGAAUUCCAGGU